CGGCAGGCUUAACACAGUGCAGGUCGAGGGGUAUGGUUCUUCGGAACCAGAGACCGGCGCACGGGUGCGUAACGCGUAUGCAAUCUGCCUUUCACAGAGGGAUAGCCCAGAGAAAUUUGGAUUAAUACCUCAUAGUAUAGCGACAUCGCAUGAUGAUGCUAUUAAAGUCACAACGGUGAAAGAUGAGCAUGCGUCCCAUUAGCUAGUUGGUAAGGUAACGGCUUACCAAGGCAACGAUGGGUAGGGGUCCUGAGAGGGAGAUCCCCCACACUGGUACUGAGACACGGACCAGACUCCUACGGGAGGCAGCAGUGAGGAAUAUUGGUCAAUGGGCGCAAGCCUGAACCAGCCAUGCCGCGUGCAGGAUGACGGUCCUAUGGAUUGUAAACUGCUUUUGCACAGGAAGAAACACUGAUUCGUGAAUCAGCUUGACGGUACUGUGAGAAUAAGGAUCGGCUAACUCCGUGCCAGCAGCCGCGGUAAUACGGAGGAUCCAAGCGUUAUCCGGAAUCAUUGGGUUUAAAGGGUCCGUAGGCGGUCUGGUAAGUCAGUGGUGAAAGCCCAUCGCUCAACGGUGGAACGGCCAUUGAUACUGCUGGACUUGAAUUAUUAGGAAGUAACUAGAAUAUGUAGUGUAGCGGUGAAAUGCUUAGAGAUUACAUGGAAUACCAAUUGCGAAGGCAGGUUACUACUAAUGGAUUGACGCUGAUGGACGAAAGCGUGGGUAGCGAACAGGAUUAGAUACCCUGGUAGUCCACGCCGUUUACGAUGGAUACUAGCUGUUGGAAGCAAUUUCAGUGGCUAAGCGAAAGUGAUAAGUAUCCCACCUGGGGAG
rnacentral:rRNA from 1 species